UUCUCUGUCCUCUCUUUCCUCCUAAAACCAGAGCUCCCAGGGAGCCCGUGCUUAUCCCAUUCCAACGCAUGGCGGCCUGGUCGCAGCUUCCUCGGCGCCUGCUUCUGUGUCCAUGAUAGCAGCGUGGACCUUGUGAAAAUGGAUGGCCGUGGAUGGCUGUGCAGGCGAGCACCCCAGAUCCAGCAGGCCCUUGAGGUUGGGCACUACGAUGGCUCCUGGGAAGAGGCUCGGAAGACGGCACAUGGCCAAGCUCCUAGGUCUGAUGGAUCUGGAGGGCAGAACCGAAGCAUCCCUUCUAGAAAAAAAAUCAUUUUUCCGAUCCCAUGGUUACUGGCUUUGUUUUCUCCUCGCGACCAUGGGAUUCAUAUUGAAUGGUAGCAAGCGGUGGGGUAAUCCACACGAUUUUUGUCCUCACUCCACAAAAAAGUGGGAAUUUGAUGUGUUAGUGCGUUCAGCUUCAGAUUGUACAUCACUUAAUCUUUGUUGAAUCAAAUUUUGCGUGAUCAGCUAA